rnacentral:rRNA from 1 species
AAUGGGGGAUAACGUAGCGAAAGUUACGCUAAUACCGCAUAUGCCCUGAGGGGGAAAGUGGGGGAUCGCAAGACCUCWCGUUUUCGGAGCGGCCGAUAUCAGAUUAGCUAGUUGGUGGGGUAAAGGCCUACCAAGGCGACGAUCUGUAGCUGGUCUGAGAGGACGACCAGCCACACUGGGACUGAGACACGGCCCAGACUCCUACGGGAGGCAGCAGUGGGGAAUUUUGGACAAUGGGGGCAACCCUGAUCCAGCCAUGCCGCGUGAGUGAAGAAGGCCUUCGGGUUGUAAAGCUCUUUCGGACAGAAAGAAAUCGCACAGGAUAAUACCUUGUGUGGAUGACGGUACUGUAAGAAGAAGCACCGGCUAACUACGUGCCAGCAGCCGCGGUAAUACGUAGGGUGCGAGCGUUAAUCGGAAUUACUGGGCGUAAAGCGUGCGCAGGCGGUUUUGUAAGACAGAUGUGAAAUCCCCGGGCUUAACCUGGGAACUGCAUUUGUGACUGCAAGGCUAGAGUGUAGCAGAGGGGGGUAGAAUUCCA